rnacentral:lncRNA from 1 species
GAUUACCGAGGGCCAAUGUGAGCUCAUCAUUCUCUCGGUCCACCUUAAACCUCCUAGCUUUAGAAUCUUUAAUGUUCUUCAUAAGACUUUUGGCCUUCUGACGUAUUGUCUCAUUGAAUAUCAACGUCCCAUCGUCUUGGCUCGGGGAGCCUCCAUGAGCGUAAUACCAAUUUUUCAAUCAUUCGGGUCAUUCAAUAGUUGCAGGUACGAUACCCU